rnacentral:rRNA from 1 species
UAAAGGGCCGCGGUAUUUUGACCGUGCAAAGGUAGCAUAAUCAUUAGUCUUCUAAUUAAAGGCUGGAAUGAAUGGUUGGACGAGGUACUAGCUGUCUCUUUAAAAUAAGUCAGAAUUUAGCUUUUUAGUCAAAAGGCUGAAAUAAAGUUGGAGGACGAGAAGACCCUAUAGAUCUUUACAUUUAACUUAUUUAGUUUGUUUAGGUAGGUUAUAAUUUUAUAGGGAAAAUGUUUCGUUGGGGUGACGAGAAGAUACACGAAACUCUUUUUAUAGAAAUACACGGAUGAGUGGUUGGUUGAUCCAUAAGUAAUGAUUAUAAGACUAAGUUACCUUAGGGAUAACAGCGUAAUCUUUUUUGAGAGUUCUAAUCGACAAGAAGGGUUGCGACCUCGAUGUUGGACUAAGGGUUAUUUUUGGGUGUAGCAGCUCAAAGUUUAGGUCUGUUCGAACUUU